GUGGCUUUUGGGAGACAGAAAACCUUCUCCUGAGGAUUGGGAUAAGGGGAUUGAUCCUUCAAGUCCUUUGUUUCAGGCCAUCCUAGACAAUCCUGUGGUGCAACUUGGGCUCACCAAUCCUAAAACACUGUUAGCAUUUGAGGAUAUGCUUGAAAAUCCUCUGAACAGUACUCAGUGGAUGAAUGAUCCUGAGACGGGUCCUGUUAUGCUUCAGAUUUCCAGGAUCUUCCAGACACUGAAUCGCACAUAAGGGAUGCCUUUAAGCAGAGAUGCAUUCUACGUCUUCACGUCAUUAAUCCCCCAAAAAGCAGAAGGAUUAUGGUCCUUUUGGGUGUGUGUGUGUGUGUGUGUGCGCACAUGUGUGGGGGGAGCAUUAAUAGUAUUAAUGGAGUUAUUUGCAUAUGAUAAGGGAAGAGCUUGUAGGUGUGGUUAACUUGUUAACUGCCUUGUGGAUCUAGUGCUGGGUAAUAUAGAGUUUAAAGUCUAUUUAUUGAGAUAUUAUAAAUAAAAUAUUUGAAAUUUUAGAACAAUAUUGAAAUGCUGCAAUAUAUAGAUUAUGGGUUACAUAUUUUAUUGAUUUCAAGAAUGUUUUUAUUGUUUUCAUGUCAAAUUCAGUGUCUGGAGACGAGCAUUUUUUAACAGUUUACAAACUGGCUGAUUUUCCUGCCCUGUUAGUCUGUUGACCUUUGGAAAAAAAAGACUGAGAAAUGCAGAAACUGUGACAGGCAGAAAAAGGCCAUUUGAUCUGUCUUGUCUGCCUUUAAACUACCCUUUUGUUUCUCUAACUUUAAGCAACCCCCUUCUUUGUCUUUUUAUACAUGAUGCCUGCCUUUCACUGAUUUGAUUAGGUUCCCUGCUGUCUAUACAAAACCAAUUCCUUUUGAAAUAUUUUCAUUUUUUUCUACAAGUACUUUGUUUUUCCCCUCCUUAAGCAUACUGUUUUGUAAUCUUAGCGUAGGAUGUGGCUGUCAGUCUGUCAUUUUCGUUAACUUUUAAAAAUGUUAUGUCUUACCCUUAUUUCCUUUAAUCACUCUCUCAUCAACUGAAUGUGCAUAAUGUUCAACUAGCUGUUUUUCCCUGUAAUUGCUAUCAUAUGGGCUGCUAUUUUUGACCAGUGUCAGUCAUGUUUGCCCUUUAAAACUACAGGGUCUUUAGAACUGCACAUAGUACACUAACUGAGGGUUCACCAGUUGCAUUUAUAAUGGUGUAGCAGCCUUCCUUUUCCUAGAUAUUUUUCUUUUAUGUGCCCUAAAAUGUUGCCUGCUGCACUUAAUGCCAUAUUAAACCUCUUUCCUUAAGUCAUUUGUUAUUUUCAGGUUUUUGUCUUCUUUUUCUCCUCCUGGCUUACACUUUGCAUGCACCAUUAGAUAAUUUAACUAGUAGCAACCUAUCAGACACACACCUGGUAGUGCUGUGUUUGAAGUUAAAAAGUAAAUGCAGUGUAAACUACUGUAGUUUUACGAGAGACAUGGUGAUGAAUUUUUUUCUUACUGACUGCACUGAUUCUUGAUGAUUCUUUAUCAUGGUAAACUCCGAACUGAAGGUCUUCACUGUUUAAUAGAAUAAACAAAUUUAUGUUUUUAAUGUUAAGUACUACUUGCUGCACAUGAUCAGUAUAUUGUAUUCUUGAAAACAUUAACCAGGACAUCCUGUGUUUACUGUUCCACAUCAUAUUCUUUGUGAUAAAGGCCUCAAAUGAAAUACCUGAAAGUUAUGAACAAGCAUUUUGCUUAUUAUUAAGCAAUACACUGUUAAAAACAA